CUUUAUACUGGCUCAGUGUUCAGUACCUCAGAGAUGAGUCUUUAUACUGGCUCAGUGUUCAGUACCUCAGAGAUGAAGCUUUAUACUGGCUCAGUUUUCAGUACCUCAGAGAUGAAGCUUUAUACUGGCUCAGUUUUCAGUACCUCAGAGAUGAAGCUUUAUACUGGCUCAGUGUUCAGUGCCUCAGAGAUGAAGCUUUAUACUGGCUCAGUGUUCAGUACCUCAAAGAGGAAGCUUUAUACUGGCUCAGUGUUCAGUACCUCAAAGAGGAAGCUUUAUACUGGCUCAGUGUUCAGUGCCUCACUAACUCAGAGAUGAAGCUUUAUACUGGCUCAGUGUUCAGUACCUCAGAGAUGAAGCUUCAUACUGGCUCAGUGUUCAGUACCUCACUAGCUCAGAGAUGAAGCUUUAUACUGGCUCAGUGUUCAGUACCUCAGAGAUGAAGCUUUAUACUGGCUCAGUGUUCAGUACCUCAGAGAGGAAGAUAUAUACAGGGUCACUGCCAGUACCACAUUUACAAUGUGCAGGGGUAAUGGAGUAUUGAGGUAGAUAUGGACAUGUUGUCAAGGAUACUGGAACAUUGAGGUAGAUAGGGACAUAUAUGCAGGGAUACUGGAGUAUUGAGGUAGAUAGGGACAUAUAUGCAGGGAUACUGGAGUAUUGAGGUAGAUAUGGACAUAUAUGCAGGGAUACUGGAGUAUUGAGGUAGAUAGGGACAUAUAUGCAGGGAUACUGGAGUAUUGAGUUAGAUAUGGACAUAUAGGCAGGGAUACUGGAGUAUUGAGGUAGAUAGGGACAUAUAUGCAGGGAUACUGGAGUAUUGAGGUAGAUAUGGACAUAUAGUCAGGGAUACUGGAGUAUUGAGGUAGAUAUGGACAUAUAGGCAGGGAUACUGGAGUAUUGAGGUAGAUAUGGACAUAUAGGCAGGGAUACUGGAGUAUUGAGGUAGAUAUGGACAUAGGCAGGGAUACUGGAGUAUUGAGGUAGAUAUGGACAUAUAGGCAGGGAUACUGGAGUAUUGAGGUAGAUAUGGACAUAUAGGCAGGGAUACUGGAGUAUAAAGGGAUUUCUUGAAAGUGACUGGUAGCAGAAAAUAAUGACUGGUAUAUAAAUAAUAAUAUUAAUAAUGUUAAUAAUAAUAUUAUUAUGAAUAAUGAUAAUGAUAAUAUGUAAUAAUGAUAAUGACAAUAAUAAUAAUGAUAAUAACACCAAUGAUCAUAAUAAUAAUAAUAUUAUGAAUAAUAAUAAUGAUAAUAUUAUUAAUAAUACAAUAAUAAUAUAAAUAAUAAUAAUGAUAAUAUAUUAAUAAUAAUGCUGACAAUAAUGAUAAUAUAACGAUAAUAAUGAUAAUAUCAAUAAUAAUUAUGAUAAUAAUAAUGAACAUAUAAUGAUAAUAUUAAUAAUAAUUAUGAUAAUAAUAAUAAUGGUAAUAUAACGAUAAUAAUGAUG
ensembl:lncRNA